CGGUUAUACGAGAGGCCCCAGUUGAUAAUAUUACGGCGUAAAGGGUGGUUAAGGAACACAACACAAUAAAGCCGAACAGCCCCCCGGCCGUCAUACGCUUCCGGGUGCUAGAAGCCCAACCACACGAAAGUAGCUUUAACAUAAUUUGCCCGACCCCACGAAAGCUGAGAAACAAACUGGGAUUAGAUACCCCACUAUGCUCAGCCAUAAACCCAGAUAUUUACGUACAAUUACAUGUCCGCCAGGGUACUACAAGCAUUAGCUUAAAACCCAAAGGACCUGAUGGUGCCUCAGACCCCCCUAGAGGAGCCUGUUCUAGAACCGAUAACCCCCGUUAAACCUCACCACUUCUAGUUAUCCCAGCCUAUAUACCGCCGUCGCCAGCUUACCCUGUGAAGGUAAUAAGAGUAAGCAAAAUGGGCACAACCCAGAACGUCAGGUCGAGGUGUAGCGCACGAAGUGGGAAGAAAUGGGCUACAUUUUCUAUUAUAGAACAAUACGAAUACGCAACAUGAAAUAGUGCUUGAAGGAGGAUUUAGUAGUAAAAAGGAAUAAGAGUGUCCUUUUGAACCCGGCUCUGAGACGCGUACACACCGCCCGUCACUCUCCCCUGUCAAAAUGCAAUAAAAAUAACUAAUAUCAAAGCGCGGACAAGGGGAGGCAAGUCGUAACAUGGUAAGUGUACCGGAAGGUGCACUUGG
rnacentral:rRNA from 1 species